rnacentral:rRNA from 1 species
GCCCUUAGAGUUUGAUCCUGGCUCAGGACGAACGCUGGCGGCGCGCCUAACACAUGCAAGUCGAGGGAGAACCGGGCCUGCGGGCUCGGGGAGACCGGCGAACGGGUGAGUAACACGUGAGGAACCUGCCCUGCAGACCGGGAUAACCAUGGGAAACCGUGGCUAAUACCGGAUGACCUCAGCGGAUCGCAUGAUCGGCUGAGCAAAUGCUCCGGCGCUGCAGGAUGGCCUCGCGGCCUAUCAGCUUGUUGGUGAGGUAACGGCUCACCAAGGCCACGACGGGUAGCUGGCGUGAGAGCGCGAUAGCCACACUGGGACUGAGACACGGCCCAGACUCCUACGGGAGGCAGCAGUGGGGAAUCUUGUCCAAUGGGCGAAAGCCUGAGACAGCGACGCCGCGUGCGGGAAGAAGGCCUUCGGGUUGUAAACCGCUUUCAGGAGGGAAGAAGCGAAAGUGACGGUACCUCCACAAGAAGCCCCGGCCAACUACGUGCCAGCAGCCGCGGUAAUACGUAGGGGGCGAGCGUUGU